rnacentral:rRNA from 1 species
UACGAAGGGGGCUAGCGUUGCUCGGAAUGACUGGGCGUAAAGGGUGCGUAGGAGGGCAGGUAAGUCAGUGGUGAAAUCCCCGAGCUUAACUUGGGAACUGCCGUUGAUACUAUCUGUCUUGAAUACCGUGGAGGUGAGCGGAAUAUGUCAUGUAGCGGUGAAAUGCUUAGAUAUGACAUAGAACACCAAUUGCGAAGGCAGCUCGCUACACGAAUAUUGACUCUGAGGCACGAAAGCGUGGGGAUCAAACAGG